AUGAUCUCCAUCAGGCACCAUUUCAACACGUCUCCAAAUCAACCAUCCCUACAACAGGAUUUAUUUUCCAAUGAGCGAAAUCCCCGCCCGCCAACUCCAAGGCUCUUGGAUGCGAGCUCUGUGGGAAACAGCAGCGACGAGCAGAGGCUAUUUUGGGUGUGGGAACGAGGAGGGAGGAGGGGCGGCGCCGCCAGGCUGGGCGCGGGUGCGCGGGGAAAGCCUCCAGCUCGGGCUGCCACGGCAACCGCGUCCAGGCAACGCGCCCGGAAGCGGCUCGGGCGGGCGCGCGCCGCCCCGGCCCCCCCGGGAGCCGCGAACCCUGCCGGGCCGCGCGCCGGGCCAGGCGGCAGGCGCGCGCUGAUUGGACGGCGCUCCCCGCGGCGCGGGCCCGCAGCCGGGCGCCCUGCUCAGCCAGCGCCAGCGGCCGCCGCACCCAACCGCGCCGGUGAGGAUAUGGGCAGCCGUGGCGCGCCCGCCCCGCGCGCCGGUAAAAUCAAAACCCAAUCGUGGCAGGCAGCAGCAAAUUAAGAAAAUUACUAGGAAUGUGCUGGUUGAUAAAUAUCAAGAAGCCUAAAAUUUUCAGUUGCUGCCAAGGGAACAUUGGUACUUGAGGUUGAAAAUCAGAUUUCAGUGUGGUGAAAACUCAGAUUUCCGGGUGGCGAGCUGCUGAGCUUACUGGGAACUUCAGUCUUCCUCCUUGAAGGUGUCUGCACUUGCUGACUGGCGGUCACCCCCUGCCCCACUUCAGAACGCGUUUGUGGAGAUGACAUUCUCUCUGGAUGAAGCAACUACAGAAGUGCAGGCAAGAGAUUCUGCUGCCGUCGCUGAGUGUGGCUUAAAUAAAAAGCAUGUUUAUGUGGGAGAGAAUGUGUGGGGGUUGCUUUCGCAUUAUGGAAUUCUUAAAAUUGUUGAACCGGGAAGAUGUUAUUCAGAAACCCCUGGUGCCUUCAGCUUGUUUUUUUGUUUAUUUCAGGUUUCUUUUUUCCCCCAUUUUUAAUUAUCUCUGGAAAAACUCAAGAGUCCUCCCCUGCUCCUAAAAUAGUUAUAAAAUUAAUGUGCUGUACUCAGGUCGUUACUCCACGUAAAAGAGUAGAAGACUCCCAUGUUAAGCAGAGAAGUCCAGCCUCCUCUCUCCGAGUGUGAGAAAAAGGGCAUAGACUGGAGACUGGAUCUUUCUUCUGAGCCUAAAUUCUUAGCUUUUCAGCCAGCAAUUCAUAGAGGGUAGAACCAAAAGUCACCACUGGCAUUCUGUCUGUACAAGGGUACACAGAAUCAUGCCUUCCCCUCCUAGUUUAGUAGGUAGAGAGUUUACAUGGGCUUUUAAUAAUAUUUUUUCUCUUCUAGCUGUUGCACUUGGCAGAUUUCUUUUUUAACAUUUGGUUAUGUGUCUUUUCUAAUGCUAGAAGAAAAGUUGCCAAAUAUUGCUGUUGAUUAUAAUAAAACAACCU
rnacentral:lncRNA from 1 species